rnacentral:rRNA from 1 species
CCGCACAAGCGGCGGAGCAUGCGGAUUAAUUCGAUGCAACGCGAAGAACCUUACCAAGGCUUGACAUAUACGAGAACGGGCCAGAAAUGGUCAACUCUUUGGACACUCGUAAACAGGUGGUGCAUGGUUGUCGUCAGCUCGUGUCGUGAGAUGUUGGGUUAAGUCCCGCAACGAGCGCAACCCUCGUUCUAUGUUGCCAGCACGUAAUGGUGGGAACUCAUGGGAUACUGCCGGGGUCAACUCGGAGGAAGGUGGGGAUGACGUCAAAUCAUCAUGCCCCUUAUGUCUUGGGCUUCACGCAUGCUACAAUGGCCGGUACAAAGGGCUGCAAUACCGUGAGGUGGAGCGAAUCCCAAAAAGCCGGUCCCAGUUCGGAUUGAGGUCUGCAACUCGACCUCAUGAAGUCGGAGUCGCUAGUAAUCGCAGAUCAGCAACGCUGCGGUGAAUACGUUCCCGGGUCUUGUACACACCGCCCGUCAAGUCAUGAAAGUCGGUAACACCUGAAGCCGGU